UGCUUUGCGCAGUGGCAGUAUCAUAGCCAAUGAGGUUUAUCCUAGGCGCGAUUAUUGCUAAUUGAAAACUUUUCCCAAAGAAUCGUUGCUGUAAACAUUUCAUAUCUACUCCAUCUUUGGAGAUUCAAGCUUUUGGA